rnacentral:lncRNA from 1 species
UAGGUGUAAUUAAAUGCAAUUUUGUGAAGUAGAAAUCAAAAUGAACAAUAAGGAAAGGAAAAUGUGAAUUGAAAAGAAUGAGUGAGUGAUAAAUGAGAAUGAAUGAACCUAAGGGAAUGAAUUAGGUCGGGUGUGGGAAUGACUCCUAACUUUUUCGACUUCGAUUUUCCCUUUGAUUAGAAGGCAAAACUAGCGUGCUAAGGCUAUCGAGUAGCCACACUCGCUCGUUUCCCUUAUCAGAAGGGGACCCUCAAGCAAAUGGACCCUACAACUAUCAUGAUAUGCAAAAAUCCUAAAAUGAAGGGAAAGGGGGUUCGAGGAGCAUGCCAAGUGAUAAAACUAAGAAAAAUGCAUGAUAUGUGGUGAACAAACAAAUGAUAUGCUAAUGAGGGGAAAUCCCUAAGGGUCUAGCGUUGGACUAGCCCAUUCUAUGAAUUCCGACUAGCGUUGGACUAGCGGAAACGUACAUUCAUCCAUUCCAUUCAUUCAUGGCUAUGAAAGCAAGUAGACAUGCCAAAAUACUCGUAAACACAUAGCACAUAGCAUUUAGCAUGCUCGACUAGAUGCAAGAGCCUAAUAAAGCAAUUAAACAUGUAGCAACAAAAGCAAGCAACCAGGGGGAAGGGGAAGUGGACCAGAU